rnacentral:rRNA from 1 species
AUGGUCUGGGUCGACUACGACGGCGAGUCGCGGCGCGUGCGGGCGUACGUUGCCAAGAACGGGAGCAGGCCCGGCGUCCCCGUGCUCGACGCGCCGCUGGACCUCUCGGCGGUCCUCCUCGGCAAGCGGGCCUACUUCGGCUUCUCGGCGUCCACCGGCGUCAAGUACCAGUUCAACUGCGUGCGCAUGUGGAACAUGACGGUGGAGAGGCUCCUCGACUCCAGCACCGCCGGCAGGUCCAUUUCCGGCCGGAAGAUCGGGGCGGCCGUGGGCGUGCCGUGCGCCAUCGUGCUCGCCAUCGGGCUGCUCGCCGGCCUGUACAUCAGGAGGAAGAGCAAGAUGGUUGCCGGCGUUACCGCCGUUGACCUGAGCGCUAUCCCGGGGAUGCCGAGGGAGUUCGACUUCAGGGAGCUCAAGAGAGGAACCAACAACUUCGACGAGAAGAUGAAGCUGGGGCAGGGAGGGUACGGCGUGGUGUACCGCGCCACCGUGGCCGGGGAAGGUGGGCGGAGCAUGGAGGUGGCCGUGAAGCAGUUCUCCGGGGCCAACACCAAGGGGCAGGAGAACUUCCUCGCCGAGCUGAGCAUCAUCAACCGCCUCCGCCACCGUAAUCUCGUCAAGCUCAUCGGGUGGUGCCACCAGAACGGCGUGUUGCUGCUGGUGUACGACCUGAUGCCCAACGGCAGCCUGGACCGGCACCUCUUCCCCCGCUCCGGCGACGCCCCGUCUCGGACCCUCAGCUGGGAGCAGCGCUACAAGGUGGCCGCCGGCGUCGCGUCGGCGCUCAACUACCUCCACCACGACUACGACCACGUGGUGAUCCACCGGGACAUGAAGCCGUCCAACAUCAUGCUGGACGCCGCCUUCAACGCCCGCCUCGGCGACUUCGGCCUCGCCCGCGCGCUCGACGCCGACAAGACCUCCUACACCGACCGGGCCGGCCUGCCGGGCACGCUGGGCUACAUCGCGCCCGAGUGCUUCCACACCGGCAGGGCCACCAGGGAGUCGGACGUCUUCGGCUUCGGCGCCGUCGUGCUGGAGAUCGUCUGCGGCCGCCGGAACUCCUGCUGCCACCCCGCCGGGUGCAGCCAGCUGCUGGAGGAGGCGUGGGAGCUGCAUGGCGCGGGGAGCCUCCUCGAGGCCGUCGACCCGAGGCUCGCCGGCGCGUUCGACGAGGCCGAGGCGGAGCGGCUCCUGCUGCUGGGCCUCGCGUGCAGCCACCCGAACCCCGGGGAGCGGCCCCAGGCGCAGGCCAUCCUGCAGAUCCUGACGCACUCCGCCCCGCCGCCGGACGUGCCGGCGUCGAGGCCCGCGUUCAUGUGGCCGGCUGUGCUCGUGAAGGGCGACGAGGAGAUGUAUACCUCCGGCAGCUCGGCCACCUGCAGCACGGUGAUGACCUCGUCGCUGUUGAGAUAG